CUUGCUCCCCAUUCCCUGAGACCUUAGCUUGUGAUGGAAAGGUUUCCCAAGUUAGGCUCUCAGGUCCUGGGUAGCAGG